rnacentral:rRNA from 1 species
GACGAACGCUGGCGGCGUGCUUAACACAUGCAAGUCGAACGGAAAGGCCCUGCUGUUGUGGGGUGCUCGAGUGGCUAACGGGUGGGUAACAAGUGAGUAGCCUGCCCUUGACUUUGGGAUAACUUCAGGAAACUGGGGCUAAUACCGGAUAGGAGCUCCUGCUGCAUGGUGGGGGGUGGAAAGUGUCGGCGGGUGGUGAUGGACUCGCGGCUUAUCAGCUUGUUGGUGGGGUAGUGGCUUACCAAGGCUUUGACGGGUCGCCGGCCUGAGAGGGUGACCGGCCACAUUGGGACUGAGAUACGGCCCAGACUCCUACGGGAGGCAGCAGUGGGGAAUAUUGUACAAUGGGCGGAAGCCUGAUGCAGCGACGCCGCGUGCGGGAUGACGGCCUUCGGGUGGUAAACCGCUUUCGCCUGUGACGAAGCGUGAGUGACGGUAAUGGGUAAAGAAGCACCGGCUAACUACGUG